ACCAGAAUGACAGCUGUCCUGCUCAGCACCGGAGACUCAGGAGCUAGCCCAGUGCCAGAUACAGCUAAAAGAAGGAAAGGAAAGAACCAUUCUGAUCUGUUUCCAUGAUCCAUAGUGAACUUCAAGAUCAUUUCAAGUUUUCUCAUCAUCGGAACUUGCCAGAUCACUGCUCUGCCUCACACUGUCCGAUACGUGGACCAAUCAGAGCCACUCUAUGAGUAAUCACUAAUCACUUUUGUUUCUUGCUUUUAGAUAUACUUCAGAUAGAAACAAAGGUUCUCCUCUUCCCAAUGUCGGGAGUUUGUCUUGAGGCUGACUUUGAGUGCCCACUAUCUGGUAUCCCCUUGUCAGUAAAGGUCUUUGAUUCUGCA
rnacentral:lncRNA from 1 species